AAAUGUUCUCAGGGCGGGGCGAAACUCCCCACCGGCGGUAUACUCUUUUUGAGUCAGCCCGCGAGCGCUCGAUUUUCGAGGUCAGCAGAUCUGGUGAGAAGCCAGAGCCGACGGUUACAGUCCGGAUGAAAGAGAAUAAGA
rnacentral:ncRNA from 2 species